AUGGCCCGUGACUUUCUUGCAAUUCCUUUGAGCACAGUGGCAUCUGAAUCAGCCUUCAGUUGUGGUAAGAGGAUACUAGGUGACAAGAGAAGCUCUUUGAACCCUGAUAUGCUGGAAGUUCUUGUUUGUGCUAAAGAUUGGUUGUUCAAACCAAAGGAGGGUGAGUUAACCGCUUACAUUUUGGUUCUAGUACUUGUGUAG
rnacentral:rRNA from 1 species